GGCGCACGGGUGCGUAACACGUAUGUAACCUACCUUGUUCAGGGGGAUAGCCUCUCGAAAGAGAGAUUAACACCGCAUAAGAUCAAUUUAUGGCAUGAAUGAUCAAAUAUUUAUAGGAACAAGAUGGGCAUGCGGAACAUUAGCUAGUUGGUAAGGUAACGGCUUACCAAGGCUACGAUGUUUAGGGGAUCUGAGAGGAUGACCCCCCACACUGGUACUGAGACACGGACCAGACUCCUACGGGAGGCAGCAGUAAGGAAUAUUGGUCAAUGGACGCAAGUCUGAACCAGCCAUGCCGCGUGCAGGAAGACGGCCCUACGGGUUGUAAACUGCUUUUGUACCGGAAUAAACCUUUUCACGUGUGAGAAGCUGAAUGUACGGUAAGAAUAAGGAUCGGCUAACUCCGUGCCAGCAGCCGCGGUAAUACGGAGGAUCCAAGCGUUAUCCGGAUUUAUUGGGUUUAAAGGGUGCGUAGGUGGCCUAUUAAGUCAGGGGUGAAAGACGGUAGCUUAACUAUCGCAGUGCCUUUGAUACUGAUGGGCUUGAAUACACUUGAGGUAGGCGGAAUGUGACAAGUAGCGUUGAAAUGCAUAGAUAUGUCACAGAACACCAAUUGCGAAGGCAGCUUACUAAAGUGUUAUUGACACUGAGGCACGAAAGCGUGGGGAUCAAACAGGAUUAGAUACCCUGGUAGUCCACGCCCUAAACGAUGAAUACUCGAUGUUGGCGAUAUACGGUCAGCGUCUAAGCGAAAGCGUUAAGUAUUCCACCUGGGGAGUACGCCCGCAAGGGUGAAACUCAAAGGAAUUGACGGGGGCCCGCACAAGCGGAGGAGCAUGUGGUUUAAUUCGAUGAUACGCGAGGAACCUUACCCGGGCUUGAAAGUUAGUGAAUGUGACAGAGACGUCACAGUCCUUCGGGACACGAAACUAGGUGCUGCAUGGCUGUCGUCAGCUCGUGCCGUGAGGUGUUGGGUUAAGUCCCGCAACGAGCGCAACCCCUAUGUUUAGUUGCCAGCAUGUAAUGAUGGGGACUCUAAACAGACUGCCUAUGCAAAUAGAGAGGAAGGAGGGGACGACGUCAAGUCAUCAUGGCCCUUACGUCCGGGGCUACACACGUGCUACAAUGGAUGGUACAGCGGGCAG
rnacentral:rRNA from 1 species